UCCGUAGGGUGCAAGCGUUGUCCGGACUUACUGGGCGUAAAGGGCGCGUAGGCGGUCUUCUAAGUCUUGUGUGAAAUCCCCGGGCUCAACCCGGGAACUGCGUCCGAUACUGGCAGGCUUGAAUCCGGGAGAGGGAUGCGGAAUUCCAGGUGUAGCGGUGAAAUGCGUAGAUAUCUGGAGGAACACCGGUGGCGAAGGCGGCAUCCUGGACCGGCAUUGACGCUGAGGCGCGAAAGCCAGGGGAGCAAACGGG
rnacentral:rRNA from 1 species